UGAGCUGAUCGAGUAAUCGCUGAUUUUUUUUAAUCAGAGGAAAGUCCGGGCUCCUUAGGAUAAGACGCCAGGUAACGCCUGGGAGCAGUGAAAACUGUUACGGCAAGUGCAGCAGAAAGUAUACCGCCCAAUUUUUGGGUAAGGGUGAAAAGGUGAGGUAAGAGCUCACCGUAUAUUUGGAGACAAAUAUUGCAAGGUAAACCCCGUCUGGAGCAAGACUAAAUAGAGAUUCUUUAAUGUGAUCCGCAUUGAAUCUGGGUAAGUUGCUAGAGGUUUGCGGUGACGNAAANNCAAGAUGAAUGAUUACUUAAAACAGAACCCGGCUUAUGGAUCAGCUCUCCAA
rnacentral:RNase_P_RNA from 1 species